UUAAAGUUCAGUAACAAUUAUAGUGACCUCUGCCAGAAGAGGGAGGAAUUCAUAAAGGGUGAAGACAUCUGGAAACAAACACUCAGGAGGAAGACAAAGCCAAAAAGUUGGUUGAUGGAGGAUGUAGAAGAUCAAGAAGACGUUCAUCAAAACAGGUGAUAACAUAGAUAAAAAUAGC